rnacentral:tRNA from 2 species
UGGGGCGUCGCCAAGCGGUAAGGCAACGGUUUUUGGUACCGUCAUCCGGAGGUUCGAAUCCUCCCGCCCCAGCCA